UGGGGAAUAUUGCACAAUGGGCGCAAGCCUGAUGCAGCAACGCCGCGUGAGGGAUGACGGCCUUCGGGUUGUAAACCUCUUUUAGUAGGGAAGAAGCGAAAGUGACGGUACCUGCAGAAAAAGCACCGGCUAACUACGUGCCAGCAGCCGCGGUAAUACGUAGGGUGCGAGCGUUGUCCGGAAUUAUUGGGCGUAAAGAGCUCGUAGGCGGUCUGUCGCGUCUGCUGUGAAAACCCGAGGCUCAACCUCGGGCCUGCAGUGGGUACGGGCAGACUAGAGUGCGGUAGGGGAGAAUGGAAUUCCUGGUGUAGCGGUGGAAUGCGCAGAUAUCAGGAGGAACACCGAUGGCGAAGGCAGUUCUCUGGGCCGUAACUGACGCUGAGGAGCGAAAGCGUGGGGAGCGAACAGGAUUAGAUACCCUGGUAGUCCACGCCGUAAACGUUGGGCGCUAGAUGUGGGGACCAUUCCACGGUUUCCGUGUCGCAGCUAACGCAUUAAGCGCCCCGCCUGGGGAGUACGGCCGCAAGGCUAAAACUUAAAUGAAUUGACGGGGUCAUAGCU
rnacentral:rRNA from 1 species